rnacentral:rRNA from 1 species
CCUACGGGGGGCUGCAGUGGGGAAUAUUGGACAAUGGGGGCAACCCUGAUCCAGCCAUGCCGCGUGUGUGAAGAAGGCCCUCGGGUUGUAAAGCACUUUCAGUGAGGAAGAACGCCUGGUGGUUAAUACCCAUCAGGAAAGACAUCACUCACAGAAGAAGCACCGGCUAACUCCGUGCCAGCAGCCGCGGUAAUACGGAGGGCGCGAGCGUUAAUCGGAAUUACUGGGCGUAAAGCGCGCGUAGGUGGCUUGAUAAGCCGGUUGUGAGAGCCCCGGGCUCAACCUGGGAACGGCAUCCGGAACUGUCAAGCUAGAGUGCAGGAGAGGAAGGUAGAAUUCCCGGUGUAGCGGUGAAAUGCGUAGAGAUCGGGAGGAAUACCAGUGGCGAAGGCGGCCUUCUGGACUGACGCUGACACUGAGGUGCGAAAGCGUGGGUAGCAAACAGGAUUAGAUACCCUGGUAGUC